rnacentral:rRNA from 1 species
AUGAGCUCGGCUGCUUCUCCCCCACACUUCUUUAUUUCUCUGUGCCCCUUCCGCAUGCGCUUCGCGCGCCAUUGGUGCUUUGCUCUCCUCUUAUUUCUUCAUUGGAGGGUUCGGAUGGACUUCGCCGUUCUUUCCCAACGAAAAUGGAAAGGGCUGUAUCACAUCGAGAUGUCGAUUCGUUUUCCGCCCCAAAUGAGAUGGGGAAUUAGUCACCUCUGUCCCUUCAUCUUUUUGAAAGGAAUCGAGGCCCGGCCCGGCUCGCACCCAGGGAGCAAGGAGAGAAGAUGA